rnacentral:misc_RNA from 1 species
AAAAUAAACAAUAUACAUAUGGAAUAUCCUGAGGUCUCGCUCCUAAGAGGAAGCAGAAUCCUCCGAAACCAAGAACUCCGAGCAGGUGCGUAACCUUGUUAAUAAAUCUUUCGUGUUCUUCAGCCUGCUUAGCGAUCUUAACCGCCUGUUUGGAUAGAAUCUCUUUCGUCUGAACGGCUUGUUUCGACAACAUCUCUUUCGUUUGCGCCAUUUUCUUGGAUCGGUCCUUCAGCGCCUGCCUGACCUGUUGAUGCGAGUCUCCAUCGGUAUCCUCCAUGUGAUCUUCAUUCUGCGCCAUUUUUGCUACCAUACAACACGGAUU